rnacentral:rRNA from 1 species
GACGAACGCUGGCGGCGUGCUUAACACAUGCAAGUCGAACGAUGAAGCACCAGCUUGCUGGUGUGGAUUAGUGGCGAACGGGUGAGUAACACGUGAGUAACCUGCCCCUCACUCUGGGAUAAGCCUGGGAAACUGGGUCUAAUACUGGAUACGACCGAUCUCCGCAUGGAGUGUUGGUGGAAAGUUUUUGUGGUGGGGGAUGGACUCGCGGCCUAUCAGCUUGUUGGUGGGGUAAUGGCCUACCAAGGCGACGACGGGUAGCCGGCCUGAGAGGGCGACCGGCCACACUGGGACUGAGACACGGCCCAGACUCCUACGGGAGGAAGCAGUGGGGAAUAUUGCACAAUGGGCGAAAGCCUGAUGCAGCGACGCCGCGUGAGGGAUGACGGCCUUCGGGUUGUAAACCUCUUUCACCAGGGACGAAGCUAACGUGACGGUACCUGGAGAAGAAGCACCGGCUAACUACGUG